UUUAGGAUAUCUGUUGGUAUGGACGAGUUGGACCAAAGGGUCUGUUUCCACGCUAUACAGCUCUAUGACUCUAAAUGCCCUAAACGUCCAUCAAAAAUUCCCAAACUCCAUCAAAUACACACAAAGCCCCAUUAUAAACCCCCACUAAGUACACCCAAAGUCCAGCUGUCUUCUCGAACCGCUGCAGUCCAUGUGCUGUGGGUUGACCCACACUGUCCCUUAGGGAGGGAAUUCCAGGAUUUUGACCCAGCGACACUGAAGGAACAGGCAUAUUUCCAAGUCAGGAUGAUUUUCCAAACCAGUGAUAAAGAGCGAAAAUUAUUUUCCAUAAUUCUCCGUUUGAGGGUGUGACUCAAGUGAGCAGCGUUGAGUAAAGGCCUUCUCACACAUGUGACAUUUAUACGGGCGUAUCCCUGCCAGGAGGGGAGCAAAGACCUGGAGCCGUGGACAACAAUGCAGAACGUUAAAAAGAAGAAAUUAACACAGUCUGAGUUCCAACUCCCUCAGCCGUCGGUUUGCAAUAAAUAUCG